AGAGUUUGAUCAUGGCUCAGAUUGAACGCUGGCGGCAGGCCUAACACAUGCAAGUCGAGCGGUAGCACAGAGAGCUUGCUCUCGGGUGACGAGCGGCGGACGGGUGAGUAAUGUCUGGGAAGCUGCCUGAUGGAGGGGGAUAACUACUGGAAACGGUAGCUAAUACCGCAUAAUGUCGCAAGACCAAAGUGGGGGACCUUCGGGCCUCAUGCCAUCAGAUGUGCCCAGAUGGGAUUAGCUAGUAGGUGGGGUAACGGCUCACCUAGGCGACGAUCCCUAGCUGGUCUGAGAGGAUGACCAGCCACACUGGAACUGAGACACGGUCCAGACUCCUACGGGAGGCAGCAGUGGGGAAUAUUGCACAAUGGGCGCAAGCCUGAUGCAGCCAUGCCGCGUGUGUGAAGAAGGCCUUCGGGUUGUAAAGCACUUUCAGCGGGGAGGAAGGCGUUAAGGUUAAUAACCUUGGCGAUUGACGUUACCCGCAGAAGAAGCACCGGCUAACUCCGUGCCAGCAGCCGCGGUAAUACGGAGGGUGCAAGCGUUAAUCGGAAUUACUGGGCGUAAAGCGCACGCAGGCGGUCUGUCAAGUCGGAUGUGAAAUCCCCGGGCUCAACCUGGGAACUGCAUUCGAAACUGGCAGGCUAGAGUCUUGUAGAGGGGGGUAGAAUUCCAGGUGUAGCGGUGAAAUGCGUAGAGAUCUGGAGGAAUACCGGUGGCGAAGGCGGCCCCCUGGACAAAGACUGACGCUCAGGUGCGAAAGCGUGGGGAGCAAACAGGAUUAGAUACCCUGGUAGUCCACGCCGUAAACGAUGUCGAUUUGGAGGUUGUGCCCUUGAGGCGUGGCUUCCGGAGCUAACGCGUUAAAUCGACCGCCUGGGGAGUACGGCCGCAAGGUUAAAACUCAAAUGAAUUGACGGGGGCCCGCACAAGCGGUGGAGCAUGUGGUUUAAUUCGAUGCAACGCGAAGAACCUUACCUGGUCUUGACAUCCACAGAACUUUCCAGAGAUGGAUUGGUGCCUUCGGGAACUGUGAGACAGGUGCUGCAUGGCUGUCGUCAGCUCGUGUUGUGAAAUGUUGGGUUAAGUCCCGCAACGAGCGCAACCCUUAUCCUUUGUUGCCAGCGGUUCGGCCGGGAACUCAAAGGAGACUGCCAGUGAUAAACUGGAGGAAGGUGGGGAUGACGUCAAGUCAUCAUGGCCCUUACGACCAGGGCUACACACGUGCUACAAUGGCAUAUACAAAGAGAAGCGACCUCGCGAGAGCAAGCGGACCUCAUAAAGUAUGUCGUAGUCCGGAUUGGAGUCUGCAACUCGACUCCAUGAAGUCGGAAUCGCUAGUAAUCGUAGAUCAGAAUGCUACGGUGAAUACGUUCCCGGGCCUUGUACACACCGCCCGUCACACCAUGGGAGUGGGUUGCAAAAGAAGUAGGUAGCUUAACCUUCGGGAGGGCGCUUACCACUUUGUGAUUCAUGACUGGGGUGAAGUCGUAACAAGGUAACCGUAGGGGAACCUGCGGUUGGAUCACCU
rnacentral:rRNA from 1 species